AAGUAUUAUUAAAAUAUAAAGGACCAAAUAGUGAUCCUUGUAGAACUUGAGGGAUUCUGAGAAAUAGUUGAAAUGACACUGUCUCCAGGUUAGGUAGACUGGAGAGUCCAACGCUGAUGAGGCAGAGGAAUGUAUGCAGCCAUUGCUAUCCUGGGUCAGCAAAAUGAGGGUACAUGAUAUAUAAAGAUGACCUCCCAAGAAGGACAAGUCUGUAAGACAAAGGCCCAAGAGAUCCCCACCUGUCCUCAGGAAUGCUGUGCAUACCAACACCUACCUUCAAGGCCUCACUCAUCCCUCGGCCAAUCACAAGAGUCUGUACACCCUUCUCAACAACUUCCUUCACAUCUGCAGGCUGCACACCAGGAGAAUGCUGGAUGUGGAAAGAGAAAGUAGACAGACGGAGUCUCAGUCUCUCACCCAGAGCUCACAUUCUAGUAAAAUGAAACAAGGCCACUGACUGCUGGAAAGCCAAGUGUAAGGUCAUAGGAGACUGCAAACCCAUAAUCCUCUGGAGAUUAGACUGGAGACAGCCACAGCCCAUUGGAGUGGCUGGAUCAAUGGAACUCAAGUGAUGAAUGGGGCUGCUGCUGCUUUACUGCAGGCUCACAGUGUCAUGUACAAAGCAAUGAAAGAUAACUCUGCAAGGGCCUGUGGAUCCAGGCGUUGGCAGUGAUUACUCACAAUUUUGUGCAGAGGCCUGGGAUUGGAGCAUGAGACUAUUAUUGAGGCAUCCUCAACCUGCCACUAGC
rnacentral:antisense_RNA from 1 species